UGCNAGUCGAGGGGUAUUGGUUUUCGGACCAAGAGACCGGCGCACGGGUGCGUAACGCGUAUGCAAUCUACCUUUUACAGAGGGAUAGCCCAGAGAAAUUUGGAUUAAUACCUCAUAGUAUAUAAUUUUCGCAUGUUAAUUAUAUUAAAGUUCCAACGGUAAAAGAUGAGCAUGCGUCCUAUUAGCUAGAUGGUAAGGUAACGGCUUACCAUGGCUACGAUAGGUAGGGGUCCUGAGAGGGAGAUCCCCCACACUGGUACUGAGACACGGACCAGACUCCUACGGGAGGCAGCAGUGAGGAAUAUUGGACAAUGGGCGCAAGCCUGAUCCAGCCAUGCCGCGUGCAGGAAGACGCAUCUAUGGUGUGUAAACUGCUUUUGUACGGGAAGAAACACUCCCUCGUGAGGGAGCUUGACGGUACCGUAAGAAUAAGGAUCGGCUAACUCCGUGCCAGCGGCCGCGGUAAUACGGAGGAUCCAAGCGUUAUCCGGAAUCAUUGGGUUUAAAGGGUCCGUAGGCGGUUUGAUAAGUCAGUGGUGAAAGCCCAUCGCUCAACGAUGGAACGGCCAUUGAUACUGUCAGACUUGAAUUACUAGGAAGUAACUAGAAUAUGUAGUGUAGCGGUGAAAUGCUUAGAUAUUACAUGGAAUACCAAUUGCGAAGGCAGGUUACUACUAGUGGAUUGACGCUGAUGGACGAAAGCGUGGGGAGCGAACAGGAUUAGAUACCCNGGNAGUCCACGCUGUAAACGAUGGAUACUAGCUGUUCGGAGCAAUCUGAGUGGCUAAGCGAAAGUGAUAAGUAUCCCACCUGGGGAGUACGUUCGCAAGAAUGAAACUCAAAGGAANUGACGGGGGCCCGCANA
rnacentral:rRNA from 1 species